UACAGAGGUCCCAAGCGUUGUUCGGAUUCACUGGGCGUAAAGGGUGCGUAGGUGGCAAGGUAAGUUUGAUGUGAAUCUUCGAGCUCAACUCGGAAACUGCAUUGAAUACUAUCUUGCUUGAGGAUUGGAGGGGAGGCUGGAAUUCUCGGUGUAGCAGUGAAAUGCGUAGAUAUCGAGAGGAACACCAGUGGCGAAGGCGAGUCUCUAGACAACUCCUGACACUGAGGCACGAAAGCUAGGGGAGCAAACAGG
rnacentral:rRNA from 1 species